UUUUAACAGAGCUAACUGUAUCGGGGGUUAGGCGCAAGCUCCCCCUUUUUAUAACCUAGUGACUUAGCCAGCCGUCUGCUAUGCUAGGUAUUAAAUUAUUUUUUCCACUUGGAAAACUGAAGUAUAGGAUUGAUUUUGUCGAAUAAAGUUCUAGAUAAAAUAAUGAUUAUGACUAUUUUUUAUCUAUAUGUCUUGACCAAAUUACGUGCCAGCAGUCGCGGUAAUACGUAGAAGACUAGUGUUAUUCAUCUUUAGUAGGUUUAAAGGGUACCUAGACGGCAAUAGUUAGUCUAAAAUAAGAUACGAUUUUGCUAGAGUUAUAUAUGAGGAGGUGAGUAUUCUUGGAGGAGAGUUGAAAUUCUGUGAUACCUUGAGGACUGGUAAAGGCGAAGGCAACCUCUUAUCUAAUAACUGACGUUGAGGGACGAAGGCUCGGGGCGCGAAUAGGAUUAGAUACCCUAGUAGUCCAAGCAGAGAAUGAUGAAUGCCAUAGACUAGAUAUUUUUUUAGUGUAUAAAUGAAAGUGUAAGCAUUCCACCUCAAGAGUAAUGUGGCAACGCAGGAACUGAAACCAUUAGACCGUUUCUGAAACCAGUAGUGAAGUAUGUUAUUUAAUUCGUAGUUACGCGAAAAACCUUACCACAAUUUGUAUAGCGUCCCUAAAGGAUGUUACAAGCGUUGCACGGUUGUCUUCAGUUAAUGUCGUGAGAUAUUGGUUCAUUCCAUUAAAUUAACGGAAACCCUUGCUUUAUUUGCAAUUUAUAAAUAAAGUAGUUCACUAGUAUA
rnacentral:rRNA from 1 species